rnacentral:rRNA from 1 species
AUUGAACGCUGGCGGCAGGCCUAACACAUGCAAGUCGAACGAGUGGCGGACGGGUGAGUAAUGUCUGGGAAACUGCCUGAUGGAGGGGGUUAACUACUGGAAACGGUAGCUAAUACCGCAUACAUUCAGAUGAUCCCAGAUGGGAUUCUCUUGUUGGUGGGGUAAGGGCUCACCAAGGCGACGAUCGCUAGCUGGUCUGCGAGGAUGACCAGCCACACUGGAACUGAGACACGGCCCAGACUCCGACGUGAGGCAGCAGUGGGGAAUAUUGCACAAUGGGCGCAAGAAUGAUGAAGACAGGCAGCGUGUAUGAAGAAGGCCUUAGGGUUGUAAAGUACUUUCAGCGGGGAGGCGUUACCCGCAGAAGAAGAAACGGCUAACUCCGUGCCAGCAGCCGCGGUAAUUC